rnacentral:rRNA from 1 species
UACGUAGGGUGCAAGCGUUGUCCGGAAUUAUUGGGCGUAAAGAGCUCGUAGGCGGUUUGUCGCGUCUGCUGUGAAAUCCCAGGGCUUAACCCUGGGCCUGCAGUGGGUACGGGCAAACUAGAGUUUGGUAGAGGAGAACGGAAUUCCCGGUGUAGCGGUGGAAUGCGCAGAUAUCGGGAGGAACACCCGUAGCGAAGGCGGUUCUCUGGGCCAAUACUGACGCUGAGGAGCGAAAGCGUGGGGAGCAAACAGG